rnacentral:rRNA from 1 species
AGCGAACGCUGGCGGCAGGCUUAACACAUGCAAGUCGAACGCAUCACUUCGGUGGUGAGUGGCAGACGGGUGAGUAACACGUGGGAACGUACCCUUCGAUCUGGGAUAACUUCGGGAAACUGGAGCUAAUACCGGAUACGCCCUUUUGGGGAAAGGUUUACUGUCGAAGGAUCGGCCCGCGUCUGAUUAGCUAGUUGGUGGGGUAACGGCCUACCAAGGCGACGAUCAGUAGCUGGUCUGAGAGGAUGAUCAGCCACACUGGGACUGAGACACGGCCCAGACUCCUACGGGAAGCAGCAGUGGGGAAUAUUGGACAAUGGGCGCAAGCCUGAUCCAGCCAUGACGCGUGAGUGAUGAAGGCCUUAGGGUUGUAAAGCUCUUUUGUCCGGGACGAUAAUGACGGUACCGGAAGAAUAAGCCCCGGCUAACUUCGUG